GGCACAGCAAGAGGCUGCCACCAGAGAAGUGAACUCAUGAGAAACAAAGGCACCCAGUUGUCCAGAAACAAAGGGCUCCACACUCCUGUAUGCUGCAUUGGUCAUUUCGUCUCACUCCAAACGGAAGGCAAAGUUAGAAUUUGCUCUUAAGCCUGAAAGUCAAGUCUCCUGACUUUAGAGACAAUCGAGAAGCAAAAGCAAAGGAAGCCGGGGGUGCAGUGGUGCUGGAGUCAGCUUCAGAGACAGCAGCAUGAUUCAGAGAGCCCACAGGCAACUGAGCAGCAUUCUGGAGCCAGGGAGACCCCAGCAAGUGCAGAGGAGGUGAAGGUGUUCACAGGCCCAUGAGGAGAGGAGAGGGACUUGGGCAGUGGCGGCUACCAGGACUCCAUCUGAGAAAGGAGAGCACACUGCAUGGUGAGAGCCUCAGCCAGGGCUUUCCCGGGACAGCUUCUGCAGGAGCAACCAAGCCUGUUUUGUACUGAAAGAACAGAAAAUGGAAGAAACAGAAGCGGUAGCAAAUGGGAAACGCUAAGAAGCCCCAACACCAGGUGGAGGGCCUCUGGCUUCCCAGGUUAUUCGCCGUGCACGAUUGCAUGACUAUGGCCUAUGCUGGUGAAAGAAUGUGAUGUUCAAGUCCCGAAUGAGCCAUUUCAGCUACAAUCAAGUUAUUCAAGCCAUUGGGAAGGGAUCUCAAGAGAUGCAUCAAAAAUCUGCAGACUCCGUAGACAGAGCUUAGUGAAGUGGGAGAUGGCAAGUAACUCAUUUUUUAAUUUCCAUAUUAUUUAGCAUCUUCCAAGUGUGAGACAUUGGACGUUGUGCUAAAUGCUGAGAAAGAAAGAAAGAUGUGAGCUCCUCAAAGAUGACCUCAUAGCUUCACUCUGUUUCCCCAGUGUGUAGUAUACGCUCUGGAACACAAUGGGAUCAAAACGUGUUUACCAAAUGGAAAAAAGAGCGGUGAACAUUGUGUACUCUGUGCCAGGUGCUGUACUGAAAUGCUUCAUAUGCAAUUUCCAAGGGAAAAGACAAAGAUGAAUAUAGAGGCAACAACCAUCCUUCCUAGGGAUUUUUAACUGAGUACUCAGGGCUCAUUAUGAAAUCUCCUGCAAAGAUUUUGUUCAGCUAGAAGAGAAUGUGGAGGAUGGCAUGGGCUUUGUGGAUAGGAAUGAAAGAUAUUUCCAAACAUAGCUGUUGCUUCCUGGACAUCCUUACAAGAGGAUUUGCCUCAGUUGCUGUUUAGAAGUUGUCCUUUAGAUUUUUGUUUGGGUAUAUGAACAUCACAUCUUCUUAGAAGCCAAGGGCAUAAAGAACAGUGGUGUUUCCAGCAUUUGAAGAAAUUCUACUGUCCGGGAAAAGACAAAAUUGUGCAUAACUUACAUUUCUAACAGGUUUUGGCUGGCUUCUUAACUGCAUCCUGUUCUAUCAGCAAGGUCUUCAUGAACUGUAUCCUGUGCCACCUCCUAUCUCAACCUGUGACUAAGAAUGCCUAACCUCCUGGGAAUGCAGCCCAGUAGGUCUCAGCCUUAUUUUACCCAGCUCCUAUUCAAGAUGGAGUCACUCUGGUUCAAAUGCCUCUGACACCUUGAUUAAAUGAGUUCAAAUUCUCAA
rnacentral:lncRNA from 1 species